rnacentral:rRNA from 1 species
GACGAACGCUGGCGGCGCGCUUAACACAUGCAAGUCGAGCGAAGCGGCGGACGGGUGAGUAACACGUGAUUAACCUGCCUUGGACAUUGGGCUAGCCUCGGGCAACAGGGAUUAAUACCAAAUGGUCUAAGAUGGACUCGCGUCCCAUUAGCUAGUGGGGAGGUAACGGACCACCAAGGCGACGAUGGGUAGACGGCAGGGGAGGGGGAACGGACACAUUGGAACUGAGAAACGGUCGAAAAUCUACGGGAGGCAGCAGUGGGGAAUAUUGCAAAAUGGAGGGAACUCUGAUGCAGCGACGCCGGGUGAACGAAGAAGGCUGUCGAGUCGUAAAGUUCUUUUAUAUGGGAAGCGGUACCAUAAGAAAAAGCCCCGGCUAACUACGUGCCAGCAGCCGCGGUAAUAC